GACAGAGGGUGCAAACGUUGUUCGGAAUUACUGGGCGUAAAGCGCGUGUAGGCUGCCUCGCAAGUCGGGUGUGAAAAGCCCUGGGCUCAACCUAGGAAGUGCACUCGAAACUGCGGGGCUGGAGUCCUGGAGAGGAAGGCGGAAUUCUCGGUGUAGAGGUGAAAUUCGUAGAUAUCGAGAGGAACACCGGUGGCGAAGGCGGCCUCUGGACAGUGACUGACGCUGAGACGCGAAAGCGUGGGGAGCAAACAGGAUUAGAAACCCUGGAUAACG
rnacentral:rRNA from 1 species